GAUGAACGCUGGCGGCGUGCCUAAUACAUGCAAGUCGAGCGAACAGACGAGGAGCUUGCUCCUCUGACGUUAGCGGCGGACGGGUGAGUAACACGUGGAUAACCUACCUAUAAGACUGGGAUAACUUCGGGAAACCGGAGCUAAUACCGGAUAAUAUAUUGAACCGCAUGGUUCAAUAGUGAAAGACGGUUUUGCUGUCACUUAUAGAUGGAUCCGCGCCGCAUUAGCUAGUUGGUAAGGUAACGGCUUACCAAGGCAACGAUGCGUAGCCGACCUGAGAGGGUGAUCGGCCACACGGGAACUGAGACACGGUCCAGACUCCUACGGGAGGCAGCAGUAGGGAAUCUGCCGCAAUGGGCGAAAGCCUGACGGAGCAACGCCGCGUGAGUGAUGAAGGUCUUCGGAUCGUAAAACGCUGUUAUUAGGGAAGAACAAAUGUGUAAGUAACUAUGCACGUCUUGACGGUACCUAAUCAGAAAGCCACGGCUAACUACGU
rnacentral:rRNA from 1 species